rnacentral:rRNA from 1 species
GACGAACGCUGGCGGCGUGCCUAAUACAUGCAAGUUGAGCGAUGAAGAUUGGUGCUUGCACCAAUUUGAAGAGCAGCGAACGGGUGAGUAACGCGUGGGGAAUCUGCCUUUGAGCGGGGGACAACAUUUGGAAACGAAUGCUAAUACCGCAUAACAACUUUAAACAUAAGUUUUAAGUUUGAAAGAUGCAAUUGCAUCACUCAAAGAUGAUCCCGCGUUGUAUUAGCUAGUUGGUGAGGUAAAGGCUCACCAAGGCGAUGAUACAUAGCCGACCUGAGAGGGUGAUCGGCCACAUUGGGACUGAGACACGGCCCAAACUCCUACGGGAGGCAGCAGAGGGAAUCUUCGGCAAUGGACGAAAGUCUGACCGAGCAACGCCGCGUGAGUGAAGAAGGUUUUCGGAUCGUAAAACUCUGUUGGUAGAGAAGAACGUUGGUGAGAGUGGAAAGCUCAUCAAGUGACGGUAACUACCCAGAAAGGGACGGCUAACUACGUG